rnacentral:tRNA from 1 species
AAGAAGUUAAGAGAAAAAUAGCUGCUAACUAAUUUUUUAAGCGGUUAAAUUCCGUUUACUUCUUA